CUUCCUUCCACUGUAAUAUCAACAAAUUCCCAACUUAUCAAUUUAAACCUUUUUUUAAUCCCAUUUCCUCCGAACCCAAUCUGCAUUUUCUCUUCUUCUUCAACUCUUUUUCUCUUCAAUAUAUUGACAAAAUUGAAAUUCUUAAUAGCUUAACCCACUGAAAAAAAAGAAGUGAAGCGUUUUUCGGGUCGUCUCGCUGGAUCUAAGAACUGGGUAUUUAGUUACUAUCCUUGUCGGAAAGGGUGCGACUUGUGGAGUUUCUACAUAAUGUGCUUAAUCUAAAGACCCUUAUUCUAGAUCUGGCUGAUGGUGAAGAAGGAUUGAGGUCACCACUUACUUUUUUGUUUAUCACUUCAUGUCAAGGAGACCAAAAUUUCUGGAGUUGAUGAAAGCAAAUAUGCGUUUGAAAUGAUUUGUUAUUUCUUGAACCAUGCAAUGGUUUUAGAGAAGCUCAUAUUAAGAAUGAUUAACCUGCUUGAAAAAGAUGAAUUGUGUAUCUUGAAAAAAACUAUUGAGGUUACCAAUGAAUUCAAAGAAAUGUGAAGUUGUCGUACACUAGUAUUUCUUAUGUUAUGGUUGGAACUGUUCAAUAUCUCUAUAGGUUUGGUUUUGUGUAGCACUUUUGAGAAAUUAAAUGCCAUAUGGUGUUAUGGUUAGAAUUGUUCAUUGUCUGCUAUUUGUGUAUUUGGUUUAUGUAACAGGUUAAAACAGUUUGUUGAAUGUAGUGGGUUUGAUUUUCAGUA